UACGGGGGGGGCAAGCGUUGUUCGGAAUUACUGGGCGUAAAGGGCUCGUAGGCGGCCAACUAAGUCGGAUGUGAAAUCCCCAGGCUCAACCUGGGAACUGCAUCCGAUACUGGAUGGCUUGAAUUCGGGAGAGGGAUGCAGAAUUCCCGGUGUAGCGGUGAAAUGCGCAGAUAUCGGGAGGAACACCAAUGGCGAAGGCAGCUUGCUGGGACGGUACUGACGCUGAGGCACGAAAGCGUGGGGAGCAAACAGG
rnacentral:rRNA from 1 species